CUCUACUGGAACAUCUACCAUCAUGUUACUGGAUAUACCGUCAUCAUUCUCAGCAUCAUCAAUGUAUUUGAAGGAUUUGAUGCUUUAAAUGGACAGAAAAACUGGAAAAAGGCUUACAUCGGAGUGAUCAUAUUCUUGGGAGCCAUUGCUGUUCUAUUGGAAGCCAUUACUUGGUUCAUUGUCAUUAAAAGGAAAAAAACAUCAGUCUCAGACAAAUAUCCUCAUGGCAAUGGCACUAAUGGAUAUGCCAGCAGGUCGCAUGACCAGACCGCGUAAAUAAAUGUGUUCUCUUUAAUAAUAAAUCAUAUUACAUAGUUUCCGAAUUCUUUAUAGAUAAUGAGGCAUGAUUAUUUAUGUUUUAGUUGAGAUUGAUAUUAAUCUAUGAUGUUUAGCAUCAGAUUUUUGGAUA
rnacentral:misc_RNA from 1 species